AGCCGAGAGAGGCGGGGCUAUGGCACGGAGAGCGCACCCGUUGGUCGAAUUUCCCAGGAAAUGCUCGGAGCUGAGCGAAGGCCUCGGCGUUGGGUAAUAUGACCUGAAAAUGAGCCCCGACUUCGCGCUCUCUACCUCGGAGGGAAACGGUUUUCCUAAGAUCCAUCUUGGCACUAUCUGGAUCCUUUGGUCUGAAAAUUUUCAGAAGAGAAGACAGGGUCGCAAACAAGAGAAUUGGGGGCGUUGAUCCCAUAUGCAGAAUAAAGGGUGUAAAUGAAGAGCCAGAAGGCUGGGCUUCAGGACCCGGGGAGCGACUCCCGAGAGUGGGGGGACAAGGGUUCGAGCCCUGGUCUGGGAAGAUCCCACGUGCCGCGGAGCAACUGGGCCCGUGAGCCACAACUACUGAGCCUGCGCGUCUGGAGCCUGUGCUCCGCAACAAGAGAGGCCGCGACAGUGAGAGCCCCGCGCACCGCGAUGAAGAGUGGCCCUCGCUCGCCGCAACUAGAGAAAGCCCUCGCACAGAAACGAAGACCCAACACAGACCCAAAAAUUAAUAAAUAAAUAAUUUUUAAAAAAAACAAAA